UACGGAGGGGGGCUAGCGUUGUUCGGAAUUACUGGGCGUAAAGCGCACGUAGGCGGACUGUUAAGUCGGGGGUGAAAUCCUGGGGCUCAACCUCAGAAUUGCCUCCGAUACUGGCAGUCUCGAGUGCGGGAGAGGUGAGUGGAAUUCCCAGUGUAGAGGUGAAAUUCGUAGAUAUUGGGAAGAACACCAGUGGCGAAGGCGGCUCACUGGCCCGUAACUGACGCUGAGGUGCGAAAGCGUGGGAGCAACAGGG
rnacentral:rRNA from 1 species